AGGGAUGGGGCUUUGUGAGGAUGGAGAAGAUGAAGAUCAAAAUGAACUUCACUUCGUGGGGAUGGAGAAGACGAGAUACGGCUUGGGAUGGAGAAGACAAGAUACGGAAUCGUGGAGAUGGAGAAGAUGAAGACUAAAAUGAGUGCUUGAGAAUAAGGCAUUUGGUGGUUGCAGUUAUGGAGGCUUAAGGGCGACAGGUAUCUGUUUGCAUGGCUGUUGCACCGUGGCUCAAGUCCACUUCCCCAAAGGCUUCAUUUUAAAGACCAUCCCGCCACGAACCAACUACGCUGUGGCUGAGAACAACAACUCUGCUACUGUGAAGCCGAAAUGGUGGCUGGGUGGCAGCGUUGAUGGAGCUAGAGAUCCUCAAAGUGAGUGGCGUGGUCCAUCUAUGGUGGUGCUCGGCGUGAGUGGUGUUGCAGUGCAACAUAGAGAGAUGCAUUCUAGUGCUCUGGUUCCACUAAGAAAAACAGAGGUUGCUGGGGUGCAGUCGGGGUUGAUGUUUUACGGUAGGAAACGCCUCUUGCUGUUGAUGGUGGCAGCUUUUGGAGUUGGAGGUUCUCGGCGUGCAGGGGUGUUGGGCUUGCGUGCUCAACCUAUGGUGGUGGAUGCGGUUCGCUCAUGGCGGGCGACGGUACGCAAAUAAAUGUAACGAAGCUCAGGCGUAGGAGUGGCAGGAAAAGAAAGAAAAAAGAAAAAAGAAAGGAAGGGGGCGGCGAAAAUGAUAGAGAUGAAACUAGGGCCUUACCACUUGCAAAGAGGCUCGAUUUUUUUUGUUUGGGCGAGGCCCAAGGUGUUUUAUUCAGUCUAUGUGUUUUUAGUUUUUUUUCUAUGUAUUGUGUAAUUUGUGUGUUUUUUGAGUGAUUUUUAUGUAUUUUCAUUUAUUUAGUUUGUUAUAACUAGUAUUAGGAAAUAUUGUCUUCAGGACUUAGGGUCUAUAAAGUUUGUAUUCCACUCUAUGAGAUGGAGAGUUGUGUGAGUUUUCUUAAACGGUAGUCAAAGACAGAGUUUUUGUUUA